AGCGAGAUGGCGCAGCUGGUAGCGCGCUGGGCUCAUAUUGCAUUGCAACAUAGACACCCAGAGGUCGUCGGAUCGAAACUGACUCUCGCUA
rfam:Puccinia graminis f. sp. tritici CRL 75-36-700-3 supercont2.3 genomic scaffold, whole genome shotgun sequence.